CUACGGAGGGUGCAAGCGUUACUCGGAAUCACUGGGCGUAAAGCGCGCGCAGGCGGCUAUUUAAGUUGGAUGUGAAAGCCUACGGCUCAACCGUAGAACUGCAUCCAAAACUAUUUAGCUAGAGUGUGAGAGAGGAAGAUGGAAUUAGUUGUGUAGGGGUAAAAUCCGUAGAGAUAACUAGGAAUACCAAAAGCGAAGGCAAUCUUCUGGAACACUACUGACGCUGAGGCGCGAAAGCGUGGGGAGCAAACAGGAUUAGAAACCCUAGUAGUCC
rnacentral:rRNA from 1 species